GAAACGGCCUAAAACCUAGGUAAAGUCUUACGUAGACGGACCGUUCACAACCCCAAAGAAAUAAAUAAAGCUUAAACAAGCAAGUUUCAUACUAAACCCAGCCCCCUCGCUGCAUCAAAACCUCUCUCAAUCACCUCCAUCGCUCCUUCGAUUCAAGAUUUGUCACAUAAAUUGAUCGAACGCCUUGCAAACAGUUCAGCCUCUUUUGUCAUUCAAUUUCCCCCAUCAUGAAUGACGGUGGCCCUAGAUAUGCUGGAAGAGGCCAUCCGAAUAACAGAGGACGAUCUCCUCGCUCCGCCGAUCAUUUCACUUAUCGUCCCCGUCAUGCUGGAGGUGAGGGGUCUUCUGUUGCUGGUUCUUCUAAUCCUGGUAGUGGAGCUUUCCGAGGUAGAAGUUCUCACCAGAUGUCAUCAAGGAAUUUCAGGAAGCCUGUUGGACAAAAACAGGCCUCAAGUUCUGAACAAUGGCAGUGGCGGCCUCUAAAUAGCGGGAAAGAUGCAUCUCCUGGUGCUGUUGAUCUUCAGCUGCAACAUAAUUCAACGGAUGAUAUGAGCAAUAACAAUAAACAAUUAUUGGAAUCUAUUGCAUCAAAUUCUGAUUGCAUCGAACUCUCGUCCUCUUCUGCUCAAAAUGUCUCUAAGAGUUUGCAUUCUGCUGUAGAAAGAAUUCAUGUUCAGGGACCUACAGCAGUAUGUGGAAGUUAUGGUGAUUCUUUUCCUUAUGAUAAUUGUAACAGAUCAGAUGUGGUUGGACAGGAACUCAAGGUUCAACCUUCAUUGAAAUCCUGUGCAAAAGAUGAGAGUUUUACCAUACAACUUGGGAAAAGUAAUGAUGUUUUUAACUCUACAGACUCAAAAGACAAGAAGCCUUCAGUAGACCUCGAUUCUUUCGAUAUAUGCCCUCCAAAAACUGGAGGUGUCAUGCUGAAUCCUUCUUUAUUAGCUAUGAACAGAGAAAAAGAAAUGAGAUGAGGCGAGCAAUGGAAGGAAAUAAUGGAAUUGUGUUGAGACCAGGAAUGGUUCAUCUGAAGGGUGGAAUUUCCGUCAGGGAUCAGGCGAAGAUAGUAAAAAAAUGUCGGGAUCUUGGUAUUGGAGCUGGAGGUUUUUACCAACCUGGUUACCGUGAAGGAGGAAAACUACACCUGAAAAUGAUGUGCCUAGGUAAAAAUUGGGAUCCUGACAGUAGUACAUAUGGGGAUAUUCGUCCAUUUGAUGAUACAAAACCACCUAACCUACCAGAUGAAUUUUACCAACUGGUUGAAAAGGCAAUCAAAGAUUCUUAUGCCAUUAUGGCGGAAGAUUCAACAAUAAAAAAUCCUGAACGCGUACUUCCAUGGAUGAAACCGGACAUUUGUAUUGUAAACUUCUACUCACAAAAUGGACGAUUGGGUCUUCAUCAGGAUCGAGAUGAAAGUCAAGAAAGUCUUGAUAAAGGAUUGCCAGUCAUCUCCUUCUCCAUUGGUGACUCUGCUGAAUUCCUAUUUGGUGAUCGGAGUGAUGUUGAUCAAGCAGAGAAAGUUACUUUGGAAUCAGGAGAUAUCUUGAUAUUUGGUGGGAAAUCAAGACAUGUUUUCCAUGGGGUGACUGCAAUUCAUUCAAACACUGCUCCAAAAGCACUUUUAGAAGCAACAAAUCUUCGUCCAGGUCGCUUAAAUCUUACUUUUCGUCAGUAUUGAAGGUGUUGUUUUGCUCAGCAAGGGAGGCAAGCCAUGAAACAACUCCCUUAUAAUUCAGUUCCAAGUUUCCCUCUAGUGCUUCGGGAAGUUGGUUUUGUUUAAUCUAACACAUUACAAAAGUGUCAUCGUAAUAGAUUCAGCAUGUACAGAGAUUCUUCUUAGUUUCUAAUAUAUUAUCAUAUGGGAAAUAUUGUGGUUUUUUCAAGAACUUCGACAUAUUGUGCAGUUCUAAUCCUUUGUCUUGUAGGGUGUGAAAUUGUGAAGGAAUUUUUAUUAGGAGUUGCGAUUUC